GUAUAGAGUGGCGAACGGCUGAGUAACACGUGGGCAACCUGCCCUUCAGUUCGGAAUAGCUACGGGAAACCGUGGGUAAUACCGGAUGAUCCACCUCCCUCGCAUGAAGGAGGUGGCAAAGAUUUAUCGCUGAAGGAUGGGCCCGCGGCCUGUUAGCUUGUUGGUGAGGUAACGGCUCACCAAGGCAGUAAUGGGUAGCCGGGUUGAGAGACCGACCGGCCAGAUUGGGACUGAGACACGGCCCAGACUCC
rnacentral:rRNA from 1 species